rnacentral:rRNA from 1 species
ACUCCUACGGGAGGCAGCAGUGGGGGAUAUUGGACAAUGGGCGAAAGCCUGAUCCAGCCAUGCCGCGUGUGUGAAGAAGGUCUUCGGAUUGUAAAGCACUUUAAGUUGGGAGGAAGGGCAGUAAGUUAAUACCUUGCUGUUUUGUACGUUACCAACAGAAUAAGCACCGGCUAACUUCGUGCCAGCAGCCGCGGUAAUACGAAGGGGUGCAAGCGUUAAUCGGAAUUACUGGGCGUAAAGCGCGCGUAGGUGGUUCAGCAAGUUGGAUGUGAAAUCCCCGGGGCUCAACCUGGGAACUGCAUCCAAAACUACUGAGCUAGAGUACGGUAGAGGGUGGUGGAAUUUCCUGUGUAGCGGUGAAAUGCGUAGAUAUAGGAAGGAACACCAGUGGCGAAGGCGACCACCUGGACUGAUACUGACACUGAGGUGCGAAAGCGUGGGGAGCAAACAGGAUUAGAUA